UACGUAGGGUGCAAGCGUUGUCCGGAAUUAUUGGGCGUAAAGAGCUCGUAGGCGGCUUGUCGCGUCGGCUGUGAAAUCCCCGAGGCUCAACCUCGGGUCUGCAGUCGAUACGGGCAAACUGGAGUGUUGCAGGGGAGACUGGAAUUCCUGGUGUAGCGGUGAAAUGCGCAGAUAUCAGGAGGAACACCGGUGGCGAAGGCAGGUCUCUGGGCAACAACUGACGCUGAGGAGCGAAAGCGUGGGGAGCGAACAGG
rnacentral:rRNA from 1 species